rnacentral:rRNA from 1 species
UACGUAGGGCGCAAGCGUUGUCCGGAAUUAUUGGGCGUAAAGAGCUCGUAGGUGGCGUGUCGCGUCUGCCGUGAAAGCCCAUGGCUUAACUGUGGGUCUGCGGUGGAUACGGGCAGGCUGGAGGCUGGUAGGGGCAAGCGGAAUUCCUGGUGUAGCGGUGAAAUGCGCAGAUAUCAGGAGGAACACCGGUGGCGAAGGCGGAUCUCUGGGCCUGUUCUGACGCUGAGGCGCGAAAGCUAGGGGAGCGAACAGG